ACACAUAUACCAAAACUCAUGCCCUAAAACUUUAUUUUACUCUCGCAAAUAGAUCGACCUACGCCGCUUUCACUGACCCAUCUCCAGCCAACACAUCAUUGACCUGCCCGUCUCCAGCAAAUGCUUCCCUUGAUUUCUCUCGUAUGUGACUGAAUGCAGUGUUCUCUUUCUCCUUUGUUUCACCCAUACAGUGUUCUCUUUUCUCCUUUGUUUCACCCUCGUACACAUCGACCUGCCCUAUGUCCAGCGAAGGCUUCCCUCCGGCCUAGAGAUCUAUUUUGGCCGAAUUACGAGUCCCAUAAUGCUAUUUAAUCUGUCACAGUCUUAGCUUUUGGUGAUUUUGGAGCUUCAAAUCAAGUUCGAGCAGGUACAAUUUGAUUGUAAAAUAGUUGGGUAGCUUCCUCGGCAUAUUGACGAGGAAUAUGAGCUUUUGUCCUCUUAAAGUAUUUAGUUGGAAGAAACUAGACACACAAAAUGAUAUGCGAAAAUAUAUCAAGAAAAAAUAUGGCACUCCCAAAGAGGUGAAAAUAUGGGCUUUGGAAUCAAUUCAGACUGCUUGGAGAAUGUAUAAGAUUAGUUAAAUAAAAUCACUUUGAAACCUCUAAAAGACGAGCUUCGAAUGGAGAAUAGGGCGGUAGAUGUUCCGGAAUCUCACUUUAAGGAUCUUCUUAAAUAAUGAAACUCUAAUCCUCUCAAGAGCCAGGUACUUUGGAGUUGGUUUGAGAUUUAUGCUUGGUGAGGCUGGAGACUUUAAGGCACACAUGCUGGGCGUUCGUAGGCUCCGAAGUCACCUUUUAUUGUAUCUAUUUCCAUUAUUUCCUCUUAUUUUGGAACAAUGACGUAUUCAUUAUGUAAAACUUCUCCUAGAAAGGCUUAUGGCUUGUACUACCGGUUUUGGGAAUGGUAAAUUUAAUAGAGAAUUCCAUUUCUAAGGUUGUUA